rnacentral:pre_miRNA from 1 species
AGUAGAAUUACUGGAUCACAGGAUCAGUGUGCUUAACUUUUUGAGAAACUGCCAGAAGUUUCCCCAGAGUGGUGGCACCAUUUACAUUCCCCACCAGCAAU